rnacentral:rRNA from 1 species
AGACCCGAAACCCGGUGAUCUAGCCAUGGGCAGGUUGAAGGUUGGGUAACACUAACUGGAGGACCGAACCGACUAAUGUUGAAAAAUUAGCGGAUGACCUGUGGCUGGGGGUGAAAGGCCAAUCAAACCGGGAGAUAGCUGGUUCUCCCCGAAAGCUAUUUAGGUAGCGCCUCGUGAAUUCAUCUCCGGGGGUAGAGCACUGUUUCGGCUAGGGGGCCAUCCCGGCUUACCAACCCGAUGCAAACUGCGAAUACCGGAGAAUGUUAUCACGGGAGACACACGGCGGGUGCUAACGUCCGUCGUGAAGAGGGAAACAACCCAGACCGCCAGCUAAGGUCCCAAAGUCAUGGUUAAGUGGGAAACGAUGUGGGAAGGCCCAGACAGCCAGGAUGUUGGCUUAGAAGCAGCCAUCAUUUAAAGAAAGCGUAAUAGCUCACUGGUCGAGUCGGCCUGCGCGGAAGAUGUAACGGGGCUAAACCAUGCACCGAAGCUGCGGCAGCGAACGUAUCACCCAAGACAACUUUACGGAGUUGACGAUUGACGGAGCGAAGCGACGUCAAAGCGUUCAUUAAAGUCGAGUUGGCUUAGGGAUACGUUCGUUGGGUAGGGGAGCGUUCUGUAAGCCUGUGAAGGUGUGUCGUGAGGCAUGCUGGAGGUAUCAGAAGUGCGAAUGCUGACAUAAGUAACGAUAAAGCGGGUGAAAAGCCCGCUCGCCGGAAGACCAAGGGUUCCUGUCCAACGUUAAUCGGGGCAGGGUGAGUCGACCCCUAAGGCGAGGCCGAAAGGCGUAGUCGAUGGGAAACGGGUUAAUAUUCCCGUACUUGGUGUUACUGCGAAGGGGGGACGGAGAAGGCUAUGUUGGCCGGGCGACGGUUGUCCCGGUUUAAGCGUGUAGGUGUGUGUUCCAGGUAAAUCCGGUUCACUUUAACACUGAGGCGUGACGACGAGGCACUACGGUGCUGAAGCAACAAAUGCCCUGCUUCCAGGAAAAGCCUCUAAGCAUCAGGUAACAUCAAAUCGUACCCCAAACCGACACAGGUGGUCAGGUAGAGAAUACCAAGGCGCUUGAGAGAACUCGGGUGAAGGAACUAGGCAAAAUGGUGCCGUAACUUCGGGAGAAGGCACGCUGACACGUAGGU